GGGGAAUAUUGCACAAUGGGGGAAACCCUGAUGCAGCGACGCCGCGUGAAGGAAGAAGUAUCUCGGUAUGUAAACUUCUAUCAGCAGGGAAGAAAAUGACGGUACCUGACUAAGAAGCCCCGGCUAACUACGUGCCAGCAGCCGCGGUAAUACGUAGGGGGCAAGCGUUAUCCGGAUUUACUGGGUGUAAAGGGAGCGUAGGCGGACUGUCAAGUCAGUCGUGAAAUACCGGGGCUUAACCCCGGGGCUGCGAUUGAAACUGACAGCCUUGAGUAUCGGAGAGGAAAGCGGAAUUCCUAGUGUAGCGGUGAAAUGCGUAGAUAUUAGGAGGAACACCAGUGGCGAAGGCGGCUUUCUGGACGACAACUGACGCUGAGGCGCGAAAGUGUGGGGAGCAAACAGGAUUAGAUACCCUGGUAGUCCACACCGUAAACGAUGGAUACUAGGUGUAGGAGGUAUCGACCCCUUCUGUGCCGCAGUUAACACAAUAAGUAUCCCACCUGGGGAGUACGACCGCAAGGUUGAAACUCAAAGGAAUUGACGGGGGCCCGCACAAGCAGUGGAGUAUGUGGUUUAAUUCGAAGCAACGCGAAGAACCUUACCUGGUCUUGACAUCCCUGGAAUCGAGUAGAGAUACUUGAGUGCCUUCGGGAAUCAGGUGACAGGUGGUGCAUGGUUGUCGUCAGCUCGUGUCGUGAGAUGUUGGGUUAAGUCCCGCAACGAGCGCAACCCCUAUUGUCAGUUGCCAUCAUUAAGUUGGGCACUCUGGCGAGACUGCCAGGGAUAACCUGGAGGAAGGUGGGGAUGACGUCAAAUCAUCAUGCCCCUUAUGACUUGGGCUACACACGUGCUACAAUGGCGUAAACAAAGUGAAGCGAAGUCGUGAGGCCAAGCAAAUCACAAAAAUAACGUCUCAGUUCGGAUUGUAGUCUGCAACUCGACUACAUGAAGCUGGAAUCGCUAGUAAUCGCAGAUCAGAAUGCUGCGGUGAAUACGUUCCCG
rnacentral:rRNA from 1 species